GGAAUAUUGGACAAUGGGCGCAAGCCUGAUCCAGCCAUGCCGCGUGUGUGAAGAAGGCCUUCGGGUUGUAAAGCACUUUAAGUGGGGAGAAAGGCCCGUUGGUUAAUAGCCAACGGGAUUGAUGUUACUCACAGAAUAAGCACCGGCUAACUCCGUGCCAGCAGCCGCGGUAAUACGGAGGGUGCGAGCGUUAAUCGGAAUUACUGGGCGUAAAGCGCGCGUAGGCGGUUUGUUAAGUCAGCUGUGAAAGCCCCGGGCUCAACCUGGGGACUGCAGUUGAUACUGUCCGACUAGAGUACGAGAGAGGGAGGUAGAAUUCCAUGUGUAGCGGUGAAAUGCGUAGAUAUAUGGAGGAAUACCAGUGGCGAAGGCGGCCUCCUGGCUCGAUACUGACGCUGAGGUGCGAAAGCGUGGGGAUCAAA
rnacentral:rRNA from 1 species